GACGAACGCUGGCGGCGUGCUUAAUACAUGCAAGUCGAGCGGUGAACCUGACUGAAAGCCUUCGGGCUUGACGUUGGGGGAUCAGCGGCGGAUGGGUGAGUAACGCGUGGGUACCUGCCCUAAAGUCUGGGAUAACAACUCGAAAGGGUUGCUAAUACCGGAUGUGACCGAGAGGUUAAAGGCAGAGAUGUCGCUUUAGGAUGGGCCCGCGUCCCAUUAGCUAGUUGGUGAGGUAAGGGCUCACCAAGGCUGCGAUGGGUAGCCGGCCUGAGAGGGUGGACGGCCACACUGGGACUGAGACACGGCCCAGACUCCUACGGGAGGCAGCAGUAGGGAAUUUUCCGCAAUGGACGGAAGUCUGACGGAGCGACGCCGCGUGGGGGAAGAAGGCCUUCGGGUUGUAAACCUCUGUCUUCAGGGACGAAGAGGGUGUGGGAGACACACCGAAGCCGGUACCUGAGGAGGAAGCCCCGGCUAACUACGUG
rnacentral:rRNA from 2 species